AUGAGAAAGGCCAUCUCAUUGCUUCUCAUGCUUGUCAAUUGGGAGGUGUGGAAGGAAAGAAAUGUGAGAGUUUUUCGCAACAAAUCGAUGAUGCCCACUACCCUCAUCGAUGACAUCAAAGUGGAAGCUAGGUGUUGGGUCAUCAUGUGGGCGACACAUUUGAGUUCUUUGAUGCCGUGA
rnacentral:rRNA from 1 species